CAGUCGCCGCGGGAAUACGAAGGGUGCAAGCGUUACUCGGAAUUACUGGGCGUAAAGCGUGCGUAGGUGGUGGUUUAAGUCCGUUGUGAAAGCCCUGGGCUCAACCUGGGAAUUGCAGUGGAUACUGGGUCACUAGAGUGUGGUAGAGGAUAGUGGAAUUUCCGGUGUAGCAGUGAAAUGCGUAGAGAUCGGAAGGAACAUCUGUGGCGAAGGCGACUAUCUGGGCCAACACUGACACUGAGGCACGAAAGCGUGGGGAGCAAACAGGAUUAGAUACCCGUGUAGUCCCUGUCUCUUAUAA
rnacentral:rRNA from 1 species